UACGUAGGGUCCGAGCGUUGUCCGGAAUUACUGGGCGUAAAGAGCUCGUAGGUGGUUUGUCGCGUUGUUCGUGAAAACUCACAGCUCAACUGUGGGCGUGCGGGCGAUACGGGCAGACUGGAGUACUGCAGGGGAGACUGGAAUUCCUGGUGUAGCGGUGGAAUGCGCAGAUAUCAGGAGGAACACCGGUGGCGAAGGCGGGUCUCUGGGCCGGUACUGACGCUGAGACGCGAAAGCGUGGGAGCAAACAGG
rnacentral:rRNA from 1 species